ACCGGAAGUAAUCCUCGUCAGGAUUAAUCUCUGUGUGAGAUCAGGAGUGAAUGGUCCAUGGUCAACCCGUAAGCACUGCCUACAAGUAUCUGGUAGAAGAACUCCACGCAAGAAGUGAGUUUGAAGUUACAGAGGCGCCCACCAUAAGACAGCAAGCUAAGAAAGAUAUGACAUGGAUGCUGAAAUCAUGAGCUCACCAGAGCUGUGGUCACCUGCAUAGGUCUACAGGGGGCCACCAGGCAGAACUCCAGCAGAGAGAGAGAGAGAGAGAGAGAGAGAGAGAGAGAGAGAGAGAGAUGCUCCCCAGGCCAGACCCUUUACUAAGGGGGUUUUCAGCUGCUGAUGGCUACUGGGGUAAAAGAAUCAUUGUUCUUUGAGGGUUUGGUCACUGGUAGAAGUCCCACAUUUCUGUAGAUGGCCCUACACCCAUAAAUACAUACCCAAAGAUAA